rnacentral:rRNA from 1 species
UACGUAGGGGGCAAGCGUUGUCCGGAUUUAUUGGGCGUAAAGAGCGUGUAGGCGGCCAGACAAGUCUGCUGUGAAAACUCGAGGCUCAACCUCGAGCUGUCGGUGGAAACUGUCUGGCUAGAGUCCGGAAGAGGAGAGUGGAAUUCCUGGUGUAGCGGUGAAAUGCGUAGAGAUCUGGAGGAAUACCGAUGGCGAAGGCAGCCAUCUGGCCUAACACUGACGCUGAGGUGCGAAAGCAUGGGGAGCAAACAGG